UUGGGUUUGAUAUGCUAGCACAAUAGCCGAAAAAACAUGAAACCAAUUGAAACACCUGAAAACUUGCCAACUGAUGGGUGCUUUCAUAUAGUGUAAAAUUCCACAACCACAUUCAUUGAUACAAAUUGCAGACAAACAUUAUUUCUUAAACUGUUGCUUUAGAUUUAACUGAUUAAUACAUGAGAAUUUAUGUAGCUGAACCUAUUUUAGUGCUAUCGUGAUUUCUUCCAGUGUUACCAUGGACUGCCUGUGAUCAUCAGAUACCCGAACAUAUAUUUGCACACAUUCAAUAAGUAUUCUUUGAAGGAAGUUUUGAAUUUCAUAUUUAUACCUUCCUUUCUUAUCUCCUUACCC
rnacentral:misc_RNA from 1 species